rnacentral:rRNA from 1 species
GCCAGCCCGCUCAGGUGUGCCAGCCGCCGCGGUAAUACAGAGGUCCCAAGCGUUGUUCGGAUUCACUGGGCGUAAAGGGUGUGUAGGUGGUGGGUAAGUUUGAGGUGAAAGCUCCGGGCUCAACCCGGAAAUGGCCUUGAAAACUAUCCCGCUCGAGGGUUGGAGGGGGGACUGGAAUUCUCGGUGUAGCAGUGAAAUGCGUAGAUAUCGAGAGGAACACCAGUGGCGAAGGCGAGUCCCUGGACAACAUCUGACACUGAGGCACGAAAGCUAGGGGAGCAAACGGG